CAUUGUUGUUUGGCCUUGUGUGCUCGGCAAGUGGAACCUCUGCGUGCCGAUAACACCGGCCUGGGAGAGGCUCAGGGGCACCUGUAGAACGUCCCUGAGAUUCCUGCCCUGCUGGGGCAAAGACCAAAGCGCGGUGGAAAGCUACACCGGUGAAAAUCCCGGAGGUGCGGGCGAAAGCAGCAGCUUUGGGAUCUCUCCCUCCCGAGCAGGGACCGGGCUCCGCGGGGCCGGCGUCGCCGCUUGCCGGCCUCUGCCCGGGUGCUGCUUCGGGGACUCCCCGGUCACAAGCUGGAAUAUUCACCAUCAAACACCCUAUGAUCAUAUCCUCCAGUACAAAACACAGCGAGGACUGAAAUUCUUCUGGAUGGUGUCUCUCCCAAAAUAUUAACUGCAGGGGAAAUGGAAUUGUUUACACUGAUGGAUUGUGUGGUGGGACCAGACACGUGAAGAUUCAGGUAAUAACCCCUGAGAAUGCCGUAUGGUUCUGUACCCCAGCUUCUCCUAUAUUACGGCCUCUGUUGAUAUCAGAUUCUCGAGUUCUUGUAUUUCAGGUACCUUUGAUGAAUACCUGUGCCUUGCCUAGAGGAGACAGCGUUGGAACUUGUUACUGGUGUCACAGACCCAAGAUCGAGUUGAAAUUCAACCUGAAAAAGCACAAGCCGCAGCUCUCCAGUCUGCCUGGGCAAUCACCCCACACCAGGUUCUCCAACCCGGAGUGGUACCAGCUGAAGGAGCUGGAGCGACGGCGUGCGAAUUGCUGGAAGGGGCUGACGCUCCUGGCUUCCUCCCUUAUCACCGGUUGGCUCAUCGUGCUUUGCAGUCUCAUACCACAGGCACGUGCCCUGGGACCAUUUCUGCGAGAUCAGCGUGUAAAUACUUGGGUCUGGUUGGCCUCUCCUGUCACCAACUCCUCUGCCUUUUCUAGCGAGAGAGGACUAACAGCUGCAGGUCUGAAAAAGUGUUUCAUCGGCGUGCCGGCCCCAGUAAUCUUGUGUUACAGGAUUAUACUAUGCUAAAUGCUCUUGAUAUUAACGUUCCUCAUUGUUAUUUUCUUUCUGAGCAGGUAAGUGCUGUAUGCCAAGGAGCACUACAAACUCGACUGGUGGUGGACUAUCUGCUGCUUUGACACUGUAAACGCGGCUCUGAUUUUGAAGGUGUGUGUUGCUUCAACACAACCGCUAGCAUAGAGAACGACAUUCAACACCUCCAGGACUUAAUGCAUCAAAUGAAACAAGCUACUGGUGGUGCCUGGCUGGCUGAGAGGUUUAGUUCCCUGACGGGAUGGGUGGGACACCUGAUUCAAAGCAUUAUUAUAUGGAGAGGUUUACUCCUUUUUCUAUAUGUGUUUAUGAUGUGCUGCUGUAAAUCACCCUGCCCUGCACCCCGCAAGCCCAGACAGACACGUCCAGCUUUGCCAGCCCACCGGAGGUGGUGUCUCGAGCGAGGGGGUGGAAUGUGGGAAAAUAUUGGAAGGUUGGCGAGGAGGGCUGUAACCAGGCUCGAGCGACUUGCAGCUGGGGUGUUGAAAAACACAUCUAUCACGCUCAUUGUUGUUUGGCCUUGUGUGCUCGGCAAGUGGAACCUCUGCGUGCCGAUAACACCGGCCUGGGAGAGGCUCAGGGGCACCUGUAGAACGUCCCUGAGAUUCCUGCCCUGCUGGGGCAAAGACCAAAGCGCGGUGGAAAGCUACACCGGUGAAAAUCCCGGAGGUGCGGGCGAAAGCAGCAGCUUUGGGAUCUCUCCCUCCCGAGCAGGGACCGGGCUCCGCGGGGCCGGCGUCGCCGCUUGCCGGCCUCUGCCCGGGUGCUGCUUCGGGGACUCCCCGGUCACAAGGUAACGAGAAUAACUUUACUUUUUGCGUUUCAUCCGUGGUUUCGGGGCUGUUCCUGUGUCCUGCCUGUGCUGGCACGGGGUUACUGCCAGCUCCCGUGAGACACCAAGGAGAUGAUGCCAGUCCCUGUGCCGAAACAUUUACCUUUUCUGCCUCCAAAGCGUAGGCCAGGUCGGAGUACGGCUCGCGAAACCUGAAGUGUGUGUUUGCCCAUUCGCCGCUGAAGAGCUGGGACACCUUUCCAAACAGCAGCUUUCGCAGCCCCUGAGGAGGAGGAGGAGGAAGAUGGGUUGGGGUCAGCUCCCUUCACAUCCCAGCGCCAGGGGGAUCUCUAACGUCAGGGGGGCGGGUGCAGCGUGUGCGCUCCCAGCCAGGGCAGGUAAAAUCCUCUACUGAGACCCAGGCCCCAUAAUUUCAAAGCAAAGAUGAUGUUUGUGGUUAAUUCGGUGGCUUCACUCAGCCUCUCCUGUGAAGUACAGCUGCAGCGUGGAAAUAAUUUCCAUUUGGAUACGCUACACCUUCUGGGCAAAGACCUGGGCCAGGUGCUCACUGUCAUCAGCGGCACCUCUGGGGACAAAUGAAAGAUCUGCGUUUCCCGUGCAGCCCCCCCUCAGGUGCCCAGCGCUGGUGGGAGGCAGAGGGGGGCUGUCUGGGCCCCCCUCGGAGCGCAGGCACGGCCAUUGCCGAGCACGUCCCCUGUCCCUUCUGGGUUGGCAGCCGGAUUAAAAGAGGAAGUUCAAAAACCCACGUGGCUCCCACCCAAAGCAGACACGCUUGCAACCUCUGACGCCGCCGGUGAGGUUCCCUUACGGUAACUUUUAACACGAGCACCUGGCUGGGAGGGCGGGCGGGUGCUGCGAGGGUGCUGGCCCCGCUGCCCCCCUCCCUCCCUCUCAGGGUGCUGUGGGGGUCCUGCCUGGGUGCGGGUGCCCGGGGGGGGUGAACCUGCCUCCUGGCCUCACCCUGAACCACCCCGUCUGUGGACGCUGCCUGAGCCCACCCGGAACAUAUUUCCUAAUUAAUUUUAAUUUUAGUGAGUGAGGUAUUCGCUGAGCAAAGUGAAGCAAACGGACAUCGUGGCUCUUCCCGUUAAGAAUUGUUUGCCUCUGCGGUGGGUGCUUUGUGUGAGCGGUCAUGGACUGGAGAAGACGGAGCAGUUGUGUUCUGGUGCAGCUGGCAGCGAGCACGGUCGUGCUCCUAAACCUUUUCAGGACGGGACGUGUUCGACCGUGCUCGGUGGCGCAGCCCCGGCCACGCUUCCCCCCCGGGGCAAAACCCUUGAGCUUCUCGUUAUGUUUGUGCUGCCGUGGGGGGGGCCUGGUUUGGUGUGGGGGGUCACGGGCCGUCACCCCUUCUGCCAUCACCCGCCGACCCCCCCGCGCCUGGCCAAGGCUCCCGACAUGGGGGGGCUGCAGACACCCCCCGCGAGCGCGCUGAUCCCGGGCGUUGGGGUGGGAGUAGCAGUAACUUACUGAUCCCCCCGACCUCUGCCUCCUGCUCUGGGGCUGUUCGCCAGGAAAGCGCCAGCGAGCAGGGACGCGUCUCGCUCUGUCGUUUGACCUAUUAUCCCAUGAGGAUUACGGUGCAUCAGUUUUAGGGCUGUUCUUCACCUUCUUCAGCAGUCCCAUGAAUAAAUGAUUACGAUCAUA